AAAAAAAAAAAUGAUAAGAGCCAUAAGAGUUAAAGAAAAACCCAAUUCACUAGAUUAGACUCAUAGAGUUUAAGAAAAGCUUCUCCUUAAGAACAAGAGCCAAAGAAAAGAAAAGGAAACAUUGAUCCAAGAAAAAAUAGAAAUAUGCCUUUAGUGCAAAAGAGUAGACUUAUGAUCAUCAUUGGGUUUAGAGAUAGGACCAUCUACUUGUUAUUCACGGUUUAUGUCAUUGGGUAGAUGGGAUGCUAUUCUUGUAUGCAUAGGUUGGCACUUACCUUUAGCAUUCUUCUAAAGCUUAGUCCUUUUUCAUUGAGAGUCCCCUGCUACUAAAAUCUAAACCACUAAAAAGGGACCAUCUUUGUCUCAUAACCUGUCAUUAGCCAAAUGAGUUCACUAGCGAUGCAUAUCUUGAUUCAUGUUUUUGAACUUAAUGAAUGUUAAAGGGAUUGGUUGAUCUUGACGCAUUGUGCAUUUGAGUGUAGGUUUGGAUCAUAACAGAGCAUGGCUAAAGUUUUUGAGUAGAAGUCGAUCACCUCGCAUCUUAGAACUGUUAGCUGGUACAUUGAUCUUAAUUGUCAUAUCUCAUGCUUUGGUUCUGAAUCCCCAACUUCAAACCUCUCCUUCUGCUUAUGUCUUCUUGUUUGCUUGAGGGCAAGCAAAGACUAAGUUUGGGGGAGUUGAUAUGUCUAUAAUUUGCAUGAUUUACGCAUUCAUUCUUCACCACUUUGUCAUUGUUUAAUCCACAUUUCAUCUCAUUAGGAGUUG
rnacentral:sRNA from 1 species